rnacentral:rRNA from 1 species
UGGGGAAUAUUGCACAAUGGGCGGAAGCCUGAUGCAGCAACGCCGCGUGCGGGAUGACGGCCUUCGGGUUGUAAACCGCUUUCGCCUGUGACGAAGCGUGAGUGACGGUAAUGGGUAAAGAAGCACCGGCUAACUACGUGCCAGCAGCCGCGGUGAUACGUAGGGUGCGAGCGUUGUCCGGAUUUAUUGGGCGUAAAGGGCUCGUAGGUGGUUGAUCGCGUCGGAAGUGUAAUCUUGGGGCUUAACCCUGAGCGUGCUUUCGAUGCGGGUUGACUUGAGGAAGGUAGGGGAGAAUGGAAUUCCUGGUGGAGCGGUGGAAUGCGCAGAUAUCAGGAGGAACACCAGUGGCGAAGGCGGUUCUCUGGGCCUUUCCUGACGCUGAGGAGCGAAAGCGUGGGGAGCGAACA